GGUUAAGUGACUAAGCGUACAUGGUGGAUGCCUUGGCAGUCAGAGGCGAUGAAGGACGUACUAACCUGCGAUAAGCCGUGAGCAGUCGGUAAGAGACAUUACGACUCACGGAUUUCCGAAUGGGGAAACCCACUUAGCAUAAGCUAGGUAUCGCUGCGUGAAUACAUAGCGUAGCGAGGCGAACCGGGAGAACUGAAACAUCUAAGUACCCCGAGGAAAAGAAAUCAACCGAGAUUCCCUCAGUAGCGGCGAGCGAACGGGGAUUAGCCCUUAAGCAUCUUGGAAGUUAGUGGAACGGUCCUGGAAAGGCCGGCGAUACAGGGUGAUAGCCCCGUACACGAAAACAACCUUGAUGUGAAAUCGAGUAGGGCGGGACACGUGACAUCCUGUCUGAAUAUGGGGGGACCAUCCUCCAAGGCUAAAUACUCCUGACUGACCGAUAGUGAACCAGUACCGUGAGGGAAAGGCGAAAAGAACCCCUGUGAGGGGAGUGAAAUAGAACCUGAAACCGUGUACGUACAAGCAGUGGGAGCCCUUCGGGGUGACUGCGUACCUUUUGUAUAAUGGGUCAGCGACUUACAUUUUGUAGCGAGGUUAACCGUAUAGGGGAGCCGUAGGGAAACCGAGUCUUAACUGGGCGUCUAGUUGCAAGGUGUAGACCCGAAACCGGGUGAUCUAGCCAUGGGCAGGUUGAAGGUUGAGUAACAUCAACUGGAGGACCGAACCCACUAACGUUGCAAAGUUAGGGGAUGACCUGUGGCUGGGGGUGAAAGGCCAAUCAAACUCGGAGAUAGCUGGUUCUCCCCGAAAGCUAUUUAGGUAGCGCCUCGGACGAAUACUACUGGGGGUAGAGCACUGUUUGGGCUAGGGGGUCAUCCCGACUUACCAACCCCAUGCAAACUCCGAAUACCAGUAAGUACUAUCCGGGAGACACACGGCGGGUGCUAACGUCCGUCGUGAAGAGGGAAACAACCCAGACCGCCGGCUAAGGUCCCAAAGUUCUGGUUAAGUGGGAAACGAUGUGGGAAGGCUCAGACAGCUAGGAUGUUGGCUUAGAAGCAGCCAUCAUUUAAAGAAAGCGUAAUAGCUCACUAGUCGAGUCGGCCUGCGCGGAAGAUGUAACGGGGCUCAAACCAGGCACCGAAGCCGCGGAUUCACGCUAAGCGUGAGUGGUAGGGGAGCGUUCUGUAAGUCUGCGAAGGUGUAUCGAGAGGUAUGCUGGAGAUAUCAGAAGUGCGAAUGCUGACGUAAGUAACGAUAAAGGGGGUGAAAAGCCUCCUCGCCGGAAGACCAAGGGUUCCUGUCCAACGUUAAUCGGGGCAGGGUGAGUCGACCCCUAAGGUGAGGCCGAAAGGCGUAAUCGAUGGGAAGCAGGUUAAUAUUCCUGCACGACUUGUAAUUGCGAUGGGGGGACGGAGAAGGCUAGGUGGGCCAGGCGACGGUUGUCCUGGUGAAAGUGCGUAGGUGGUGUUUCUAGGCAAAUCCGGAGACACAACACUGAGACACGAGACGAACGCACCACGGUGCGGAAGCCAUUGAUGCCCUGCUUCCAGGAAAAGCCUCUAAGCUUCAGAUUACAAGUCAUCGUACCCCAAACCGACACAGGUGGUCGGGUAGAGAAUACCAAGGCGCUUGAGAGAACUCGGGUGAAGGAACUAGGCAAAAUAGAACCGUAACUUCGGGAGAAGGUUCGCUCUUGAUGGUGAAGUCCCUUGCGGAUGGAGCUGUCGGGAGUCGCAGUGACCAGAUGGCUGGGACUGUUUAUCAAAAACACAGCACUCUGCAAACACGAAAGUGGACGUAUAGGGUGUGACACCUGCCCGGUGCCGGAAGGUUAAUUGAUGGGGUUAGCGCAAGCGAAGCUCUUGAUCGAAGCCCCGGUAAACGGCGGCCGUAACUAUAACGGUCCUAAGGUAGCGAAAUUCCUUGUCGGGUAAGUUCCGACCUGCACGAAUGGUGUAACCAUGGCCAUGCUGUCUCCACCCGAGACUCAGUGAAAUCGAAUUCGCCGUGAAGAUGCGGUGUACCCGCGGCUAGACGGAAAGACCCCGUGAACCUUUACUACAGCUUGGCACUGAACAUUGAACCUACAUGUGUAGGAUAGGUGGGAGGCUUUGAAGGCGUGACGCCAGUUGCGCUGGAGCCGUCCUUGAAAUACCACCCUUGUAUGUUUGAUGUUCUAACGCAGGGCCCUGAAUCGGGCUCGCGGACAGUGCCUGGUGGGUAGUUUGACUGGGGCGGUCUCCUCCCAAAGAGUAACGGAGGAGCACGAAGGUUGGCUAAUCCUGGUCGGACAUCAGGAGGUUAGUGCAAUGGCAUAAGCCAGCUUAACUGCGAGACGGACAGGUCGAGCAGGUACGAAAGU
rnacentral:rRNA from 1 species